CCCUAGAAAGAAAGAAGCAGGCUUGAGCAACAUCAAAUUUGAAUACAAUCGUUGAAGAUGGAAGGGGAUUUAUGUGAAUGUGGAAGACAAUAUACUAUUCGUACCUUAUGGACAGACUGGAAUCUAGGGAGGCACUUCAUCUGUUGCCAAGUUCGAUCGGUUGAGAGGAAUCAUGGAUGUGAUUUCUUUGAAUGAGUAGAUCUUGUGAUGUGCAAGUGUUCAAAGCAAAUAAUUACCAAUUUAUUGAGGAAAGUUAAUGAAUUAGAAGCAAAUUUGCUUCAAAGGAGAACAAGGGAGGGAUUAUAUGGGCUUAGUUUUUCAUUUAUGUGGUGAUAAUCUUCUUCAAAUGAGUUCAUAUGAAGAUUAAGUAAUGGUUGGCACUAUUCUUGCAUCUAUGGAAGUUGGGGAAACUUUUUAUUUUUUUUAUUUUAAUGAUUUACUUAGCUAUAAUGUAUUGUUAAAUCAGCUUUAAUGUGUUGGUACAUUUUCUUACCAGCUUUUAUGUGUAAUGGGAUGAUUUGAAUCAAGGAAAUUGUUAUGAAA